GUCAGGGUGGCCGAGCGGUCUAAGGCGCUGCGUUCAGGUCCAGUCUCCUCCUGGAGGCGUGGGUUCGAAUCCCACCCCUGACA